GAUGAACGCUAGCUACAGGCUUAACACAUGCAAGUCGAGGGGGCAGCAUGGUCUUAGCUUGCUAAGGCCGAUGGCGACCGGCGCACGGGUGAGUAACACGUAUCCAACCUGCCGUCUACUCUUGGACAGCCUUCUGAAAGUAAGAUUAAUACCCGAUGGUUUCCUUUUAUCUCCUGAUAGAGGGAAUAAAGAAUUUCGGUAUGGGAUGGCGAUGCGUCCGAUUAGCUAGUUGGCGGGGUAACGGCCCACCAAGGCGACGAUCGGUAGGGGUUCUGAGAGGAAGGUCCCCCACAUUGGAACUGAGACACGGUCCAA
rnacentral:rRNA from 1 species